rnacentral:lncRNA from 1 species
AUGGGAACCCGUGCGCCACGUGGACACCUCCCGUUACCUGCCCUCCAAAAGCCGGUCUCCCGCGCCCGGUCCAGCUCGCCGGUGCCCAACGGCCCCACAGGCCGGAAGUCCCGCCCCGCCGCGCGGCCCUGGCCCGGGCGCCCGCCGUCUCCUCUGCCGCACCCGGCCCCCCGAGAUCGGCGCGCGGGGGUGGCCAAGGCGACGGAGGAGGGCGCGGACUACAUUUCCCACCCGCCACCGCGCCGCGCGCCCGUCCGUCUGUCCGUCCGUCCGUCCGUCCGGGCCCAGAAGGGCCCAGGAGUGGGCCCGGCGGCUGCGCCCUGGACGGCGCUCCGGAGGCUGCCGAGCCUCGGAACCGGGAAUCUCGUGACUUGUGCGGUCUGGCUGCUUCAACAUUCCACUACCAAAAUCAGCUGUGGCAGACAGGCCAAAAGGAGACCUGUCCCUGGUGACCAUCCCUCAAGGUGGGUUGAUCUCACAUCUGCUUCCUGGUCCAUGCCGUCUCAGAUCUUGGACUAUUUUAAUCAAAAAAUAUUUGAGGUGAAAAAAAAAGGUGAGAAUGACCCUCGGGCUGGUGUCCAGCAAGGACAUCAAGACCUUGUUGACAACCACCGGAAGCUGAACUCUGAAUCCCAAUGAGCAAGAUUUCUUUCAGAGCCUCAGAAGGGAGUGCAGCCCUGCUGACACCUCAGUUUAGGUCCACUGAGCCCUGUGCGGGACUUCUGACCUCAGAAAUAGAACUCUAAGGUACUACAUCUGUGUUUUGUCUUAAGCUGUGAGAUUUGUGCUGAUUUGUUGUGGCAGCAAUAGGAAACACAUCACCAUUCCCAACCAUGCUCUACCAGAAGAGGAGGGAGGUUUCUUCCACUACUGUGAUUGAGAAACUAAGAGAACUGCGGCCAUGAAGAUCUCUGCAGGCCAGUUAUAACCAGAGAUGCUGCCACUGGUGUGGUUCUUAACUAUCCAGUACAGGUGGGCGCGUCUGCCAGUGGAAUGCCUUGACCCGCAGGGGUCUUCAGUUGGUGGUUGAUUGAUUACAGUUCUCAAAAAUAAAUGAGAACCACAAUAAUGGGAAGUUAUUCUCCACGUAUGUAUGAUAUGUUAAAAUACAGUCUAUUGUCAUGCAUAACUAAAAAGAACAUAUUUUAAAAAUUGAAAAAGAAAUUAGUGGGGCUGGGGCUGUACCUCUGUAGCAGAGUGCUUGCCUGGCACACACAAGGCACUGGGUUCAAUCCCUAGCACCACAUAAAAAUAAAAAUAAAGGCAUUCUGUCCCUCUACAACUUCAAAAAAA